UUUGUUUACAAAUUUCCGCACCGCGUGCGGAUAAACAGGCCUUUACCGCUGAUUUUGCACAGAUAAAUUAAUUCUGUUUGCUUUCAACUGUUGUAAAGCUACAGGUACUUUUUUGAACACUACCAAAUUCAUGAAUGCCAUCAUAUAAACUCCAAAAAGGAUGAAGGUGGCUGUGGAAGGAGGGUGCCCAGUAUGAUGUCAUUGAGAUGCAGAGGGUGAACAUGUGGCACAUUUCUCCAGAGCUUUAAAAAGCUGAAUAUGGAGUUUAUCAAAUUUUGCGAUCUUUCAAUCUUUGGGGAGGUGAUUAAUCAGAGGUUUGAGAAGCAAGACGACUAUGAUGAACUGGAAAGCGACGGAUGCGAGUAGAAGUCCCUGAUAUAAGAUGGCCUUGUCCUGAAUCAGCCCGUACUCGUCCAUCACGAGGGCAGUACCAACACUAAAAAAGGGGGUUCGUGUUGAGACAUGGUUUUCAGUACACUGCAAAGUGUCACUAUCCGAAGACAUUCCGUCUUGGUAUCCGCGUUGCAUCUCAUGACCACACUUUCUCAC